rnacentral:rRNA from 1 species
GCUCCUCGGGGCGCAGCAGUGGGGGAUAUUGCACAAUGGGGGGAACCCUGAUGCAGCGACGCCGCGUGGGCGAUGGAGUACUUCGGUAUGUAAAGCCCUAUCAGCAGGGAAGAAAAUGACGGUACCUGACUAAGAAGCCCCGGCUAACUACGUGCCAGCAGCCGCGGUAAUACGUAGGGGGCAAGCGUUAUCCGGAUUUACUGGGUGUAAAGGGAGCGUAGGCGGCGAUGCAAGUCAGAAGUGAAAGCCCGGGGCUCAACUCCGGGACUGCUUUUGAAACUGUGUUGCUAGAUUGCAGGAGAGGG